CAGUGGGUAAGGGCACUUGCCUAAGCAAGAGGACCUGAGUUCAAGUCUCCAGAACCCAUGUAAAAGCCAGGCGUGGCCAAGUGUGUUUGUAACCCAGCAUUCUGAGAGGCAGACACAGGCACAUCCUAGAAGCUCAUUGGCCAGAUAGUUUAACCCAGAUGGCAAGCUCCAGGUUCAGUGAGAGAGUCCGUGAAGGGAGUGAGGCUGAGGGUGGUAGAGACUCAACCAUCCUCUGACUUCCAUGUGUGCUCAUGUGUGCGUGUACAGCUACAUGUGGAGACACACAGAUGCCCAGAUGCACAGGCACACACAAUGAAUUCAUGAGGGAAUAAAUAAGUGAAUUUACAGGAUUAUGAUCUGUUACUGCCCCCAAGUCUGCCUCGGUCAUUGGGGGAGGUUCUAUUGGCAUUUUUGAGCCAUGGAAUUCUCUGUUGUUGAGAGUUUCCUAUGCAAUGUAAACACUUAGAAACCUUCCUGGGCACAACCCUUCAGAGACCAAAAGCACCCAUGGCUUGCAGUUGCGCAAACCAAAAGUACACUGAGACUUGUCCAAGUGUUCCCUGGACAGGACGUGGGGAACAAACUUGGCCCUGGCCAAGAGACAAUGGCUGUAACAACAGCAAAUGGCUGUAAGCAGGUGACAUGACUUCUGGAGUUGAUGACCACUUCACUCAGCAUCUGUCUGGUCCCUGGAAACACCAGCUGGGAGAGGCAUGGCGCUCUCUGCUGAGGGGCCAGGCAGGAUAGAGCAUGCUACAUGUCCUGAAAAGAAACCUGAGCUGAGUUCAACUGCCUGCUUCAGAUGAGGUGUCAUGCAGCCUAGCUUGCCCUCCUUCCUGUGUAACUGGCAAUGACCUUGAAUUCCUGAUUCUCCUGUUCCCAUCUCCCGAGUCCUGGGGACACAGACUUUCAUGAUCCCGAGGAGAGACAAAUUACUGACUCCAAGGAGCUUCGCCAGCAGAAAGAUGGCACUCGGUGGCCUUCACCGAUGGGUUUCCAGUCUGUUCUGGGAUGCAAAGAGCAGAACUGAGACAUCUUCAGACAUCCAUCUGCCCUGAUGGCAUGGCUAGUUGGUUCUUGCUGUGACGAGAGUGAAACUGUCUUUUGAAACACCUGUUCUUCAAGCUCCAUGGCUGUGUGGGACUCCUUAGAUGCUGAGGUAAGAAUAAAAAACAAACAGAAUCCUCUUUUUUUGGAGCGGGGGGACAGGUUCUUACUCUACAGUCCAGUCUGCCCUUUGUAUGACUCAGUUUGUGUAGACCCUUGAACUCAUGACAAUCCAGAAUGGUCAGUCAAGCUCCUGGAUGCCUGAUUGCCUCCCCAGACUCCAGAACACAGCUUUGCUGACUAGCCGCAUGCCCCAACUCUUCAGAUAUUUCUGGGGAGUUUUUGCACUGACUCCUGGAGACACUUGACAUUAACUCUGUCCAUUUGCCUUCAAGUUUCACAUGCAGAAAAGGGAAACAUGCGUUUUCUAGCAGACUAGAACAGUCCUGAGUGUUUCCUGUGAAUGUCUCUGUGUGGUGUACCACAGGUCUGUCAGAGUGGGAGGAAACAAAGGGCUUGGACUCAAACAGGACUUCCGGAAUGUUCUUUCAGACGAGUUGUGCUUGGUCCAAACUGAAACUUGGAUGGGUUUAUUUUUUUCACCUGUGAGUUGAGACUGUCGCUGUUUCUUGUGUUCUCACAGGACGUAAUUAGUCGCAUUUCCCACUGCUGUGACAAAAUGCCCGAGGGCAGCGAUGUGAGGAAGCUAGAAGGUUUAUUUUGGCUCAGGAUUUGAGGGUAGAGCCCAUCAUGGUGGGAAACACACCAUGGCAGGGAUGUGAAGCUGCUGGUUGCCUUCAUCCAGUGAGGAAGCAGAAACCGAUGCCAGUGCUCAGCUCCCACCUACUUUUUACUCCUCAGUGUGUAGAGCAGUGUCGCCCACAAUCAGGGCUGCUCUUCCUUCUUCCCUUAGCCCUCACAGACUUGCCCAGAGAUGUGUCUUCCAAACCCAGCCAUUUUGACAGUAAGUAUUAACUAUCGCAGGGACUAAAAUCCCCCCCACCCCCUGAAAGGACUAUUAAGUAAGCAUCAGGCAUGAUACCACUCACCUGUAUCCUGUAUCCCAACCCUUAAGAGACUGGGGCAGCAGGAGGGUUGUGAGUUCAAGGCCAGCCUAGGUCACUUGGAGAAACCCUAUCUCAAAGAAACAAAACAAAACAAAACAAAACAAAACAACAACAAAAACCCCGGGGGCUGGAGGUUUGCCUCAGAGUUAAGAACAUGUGCUGCUCUUCCAGGGGAGCUGGAUUCAAUUUCCAGCACCUCUAUGGUGCUUCAUAACUCUGAUAACUGCAGCCUCAAGGGAUCUGAAGCCCUCUUCUGACCUUCCUGAGCACCAGACAUAUAGGAGGUGCACAUACAUAUAUGUAGGCAGAAACACACACGUAAGAUAAUAAAACAAAUGUUAAAAAGUUAAAAAAAAAAACCAAAGAGUUAGCAAAACCCAGACAAAAAAGUCAUAAUCAGGAUAGCUGAACAGGCUGUGAGUUUCAUCUCUCUGCCCUCAGCAAGAUAUCCUAAGGGAGAAACAGCAAGGACGACAGGGUGUGAUAAGAUGAAAUAAUCAUAUUUUGCACUUAAGUAAAAAACAGUUUUAGAUCAUAGAUCUUCUUCCUACUUGCUGUGCAGUGUUGGGCAGGUUUCAUACUUGCUAAGGUUUUCAUUUUCAUAUUCAAGGCUAAAGGGUUAGAUAGACGAAUCAAUGGUCGAAUCAAAGGACGGGAGUUUGGUUCCAAGAACUUGAGGGUAGCUCAUUUCCAUAGGAACAGGGAUCUGAUGCCCUCUUCUGGUCUCUAUGGGCACUGCACUCAGGUACACACACACACACACACACACACACACACAUUUAAAAAGAAAAUAAGGUCAUUGCACAACACAGUUAAGGACAGUUACUUGUAAGUUAAUAUGAGGGUUAAAUGAAGAUGAUAUUUAUGAAGUUCCUAGAAAAUAUCUUACACAGAUCAAAAAGACCAAGAAGAUGAAAUUGCUUCUGUUUGAAUUAUAGUUUAACUACUUACUCAUAAAAAUGACUAAUAUUUUCACGUUAACACAAGUGAAACUUCUGUGUAGAGAUGUAUUGAUUUCUCUAAAGCUCUACUCUAUAAAGAACGCUCUGAAGACAGGGAUGGGAUUGUGGGCAGUGUUUGGUAUCCUGGCUUAGAGUUGACCCUAUGCUAUGUACUCUGGAAGUGAACACUUCUUUAUUGUUUUUAGUGGUGCUGAGAAUCUGGAAUUUCCAGUCCAGAGAGACGCCUCGGUGACUAAAAGUGUAUACUGUGUUUGUAGAAGAUCUCAACACGUACAUCAGGUAGUUCACAACUGUCUACAGCUUCCGCUCAAGGGAAAUCUGCUAUUCUCUUUGGCUUCUCCAAGAAAAUGAAUGCAUUGCAUAGAUACAACACACACACACACACACACACACACACACACACACUCAUAUGUACGUUUAAUUUUUUAACUAAUUAAAGUUUAUGUGCAUGUGAGUUUUGACCGCAUGUAUGUUUGUGAUUGGUCCAAGCUCUGCUGGAGGCUGUUGCAUUGCUGUACUUAGAUUAUCGACGGGAUGAUAAAGACAGUGGUCACACCUGCCAAUUCCAAGGACACAACACACAAUGCAGCCCUUCCUUUUUGGCUGUGCCCCCAGGAGAGCUCACAUAACCUCUCAGAGUCCUCCAAAGUUGCUUUCUCAGGCAUUUUAUCAGCGGUAAGAAAAGUAACUGUAUCUUGGGUAUUCUGAGC
rnacentral:sRNA from 1 species